AUUGAACGCUGGCGGCAUGCCUUACACAUGCAAGUCGAACGGCAGCGCGGACUUCGGUCUGGCGGCGAGUGGCGAACGGGUGAGUAAUACAUCGGAACGUACCCUGUUGUGGGGGAUAACUAGUCGAAAGAUUAGCUAAUACCGCAUACGACCUGAGGGUGAAAGUGGGGGACCGCAAGGCCUCACGCAGCAGGAGCGGCCGAUGUCUGAUUAGCUAGUUGGUGGGGUAAAGGCCCACCAAGGCGACGAUCAGUAGCUGGUCUGAGAGGACGAUCAGCCACACUGGGACGGAGACACGGCCCAGACUCCUACGGGAGGCAGCAGUGGGGAAUUUUGGACAAUGGGGGCAACCCUGAUCCAGCAAUGCCGCGUGUGUGAAGAAGGCCUUCGGAUUGUAAAGCACUUUUGUCCGGAAAGAAAUCGCGCUGGUUAAUACCUGGCGUGGAUCACGGUACCGGAAGAAUAAGCACCGGCUAACUACGUGCCAGCCGCCACGGUAA
rnacentral:rRNA from 1 species